UUGAGUGGGCAAGAUCAUGGAGAAAUAGUAGCCCUGAAUGCUGAGAUAGGUGCUGGUGAAAGAGAUGCUGUUUACUACAGAGGAACAGGAUCACAUUGGGUGGGACCCACAAGUUGGUCCCAGAAAAGGACAGCAGAUGUUCCAAGUAUCCAGUAGGAAUUUGAUGCUGCCUUCUCUAAGACCAUUCCUGACUGGGACACCAAUUCAGCUGAAGGUCACUGGGUUCCAAAUACCCACAAGAAGAUCCAGAAGACUGAAAGCUUUGAAGAUAAAACAGCCAGCCACUUUUCACCUUCAAGUAGCAAGAUCUGGAAAACAGGUUCAGUGUACAGUUAAGCUGAACAAGACUUCUGCAAGGAUUUAAGAACUUGCCCACCAUAUUUGACAAGGCUCUCCUUCA